AAACACCUUUAGCUGCGGCAUGGAUCGGGGAAAACACAAUCCAAUCCCCACCAAUCCACGGGAGAAAGAGGCAUCCCCAGUUGAGGGCGGGAACGGGAAUAGCUAGCUCUCGCGUUUUCCUCCCGCGAGUGACGCUUGCCCUUCUAGGCGAUUCCAGCAGCUCUCCUCCUCGGUGACUCAAAUCCGGCCUUCUCCUCCCUAGCAGCUGCAAAUCAAGUUCCCCGACGCAAUGAGGAGAUCGAAGGGGUGCUCCAGGAAACUUGUUCUGGGGUUCCCGUACUGCAGGGAUGAUGGGAGAUGACCGGUGACGGUGGGGUAGGGCGCCGCGAGGUGGAGCUCAGUGACGCCAUGGGUUUGAUAGAGAGAAAAUGGGAAGAAAAAAAAUUAGGGAUGGCAAGGAGGAGAACCAAACAACGUGGCCUAACCUCGUCAAAGCCAUGCUAGCUUGGCCUUGCUUAGCUAGCCUUGCCCAGCCUCCCCUAGAAAGACAACCAAGCAGACCCUCUAUCUCACACAUCUAGCACACGAGGACGAUACAAUGGUUGUGUGGUGUGCAGUGGUUGAUAUGCAGUGUUUGGCUUCUUAAUGCUCGCGUUCUAGGCAGUGACACAAGUUCUUCAAUAAUCUGGUACUACAAGUGUGUCGGUUGCUCAUUCUGUCAGAUGAUGCCAAGUGGAUCUUCAGAAAACUCUUCAGAACGAAACAUCCAUCCGAUUUCAGAUGUCAUGGAAUGCGUUAUCCUUUC